rnacentral:rRNA from 1 species
GACGAACGCUGGCGGCGUGCUUAACACAUGCAAGUCGAACGGAAAGGCCCUGCUUUUUUGGUGUGCUCGAUGGGCGAACGGGUGCGUGACAGGUAAAUAACCUACUCUAGACUUUCGGGUGGGUUAAGGAAGGUGGGGCUACUCUAGUAUAGGAUAUCCUGCUGCAUGGAGGGCGUUGGAUCGUUGCGGCUGGUGGGGAUGGAUUCGCGGCUUAUGAGCUUGUUGGUUGGGGAGUGGAUGACCCAGGCAUUGACGGGUAGCUGGCCUGAGAGGGUGACCGGCCACAAGGGGACUGAGAUACGGCCCAGACUCCAACGGUAGGCAGCAGUGGGGAACAUGGCACAAUGGGCGGGAGCCGGAGGCAGAAACGCCGCGUGCGGGAUGACGGUUUUCUGGUUGUAAAACGCUUUCGCCUGUGACGAAGCGGGAGUGACGGUAACGGGUAAAGAAGCACCGGCUAACUACGUG